GUGGGGAAUUUUGGACAAUGGGCGCAAGCCUGAUCCAGCAAUGCCGCGUGCAGGAAGAAGGCCUUCGGGUUGUAAACUGCUUUUGUACGGAACGAAACGGUCCUGGUUAAUACCUGGGGCUAAUGACGGUACCGUAAGAAUAAGCACCGGCUAACUACGUGCCAGCAGCCGCGGUAAUACGUAGGGUGCGAGCGUUAAUCGGAAUUACUGGGCGUAAAGCGUGCGCAGGCGGUGAUGUAAGACAGUUGUGAAAUCCCCGGGCUCAACCUGGGAACUGCAUCUGUGACUGCAUUGCUGGAGUGCGGCAGAGGGGGAUGGAAUUCCGCGUGUAGCAGUGAAAUGCGUAGAUAUGCGGAGGAACACCGAUGGCGAAGGCAAUCCCCUGGGCCUGCACUGACGCUCAUGCACGAAAGCGUGGGGAGCAAACAGGAUUAGAAACCCUAGUAGUCC
rnacentral:rRNA from 1 species